rnacentral:lncRNA from 1 species
GGAAAGCACACAGAACAUCUCUGUCAGAGUGACAGCUCCAGGCUAGGACACAUGUACAUCAUCACAUGAGACCAGAAGAGGGCAUCGGAUUCCCUGGAACUGAAGACAUCCACAAGUUCCCAUAAGGAUCCGAGUGUCCUGCGUGUGUUUCUUGCUGGCGAGGAAUACAGAGCGGGCGCGGGACAUAUGGUGCCGAAACCCGGGACGCUUAACAUCUCCAGCACCACGGAGACCCCUUGGCUACAAGGCGGAUUCAGAACUGCAGGAUGGUAAAUUCGGAGAGGUAUGAUUUUUCUGGACUUUGGCUUGGGACGAUCUUAAAGAAGUCCAGAAUUACAUAUCAGAAACCGAAUGUAAUGAGAA